ACUGGUACUCGAGUGGCGAACGGGUGAGUAACACGUGGGUGAUCUGCCUUGCACUCUGGGAUAAGCUUGGGAAACUGGGUCUAAUACCGGAUAGGAACCGUCUUUAGUGUGGUGGUUGGAAAGUUUUUCGGUGCAAGAUGAGCUCGCGGCCUAUCAGCUUGUUGGUGGGGUAAUGGCCUACCAAGGCGACGACGGGUAGCCGGCCUGAGAGGGUGUACGGCCACAUUGGGACUGAGAUACGGCCCAG
rnacentral:rRNA from 1 species